rnacentral:rRNA from 1 species
UACGUAGGGAGCAAGCGUUGUCCGGAAUCAUUGGGCGUAAAGCGCGCGUAGGUGGCCUCAUAAGUCCGCUGUGAAAGUCAAAGGCUCAACCUUUGAAAGCCGGUGGAUACUGUGAGGCUAGAGUACGGAAGAGGCGAGUGGAAUUCCUGGUGUAGCGGUGGAAUGCGCGGAUAUCAGGAGGAACACCAAUAGCGAAGGCAGCUCGCUGGGACGUUACUGACACUGAGGCGCGAAAGCGUGGGGAGCGAACAGG